CACGCUGUAAACGAUGGAUACUAGGUGUGCGGGGACUGACCCCCCGCGUGCCGCAGUUAACACAAUAAGUAUCCCACCUGGGGAGUACGAUCGCAAGGUUGAAACUCAAAGGAAUUGACGGGGGCCCGCACAAGCGGUGGAGCAUGUGGUUUAAUUCGAAGCAACGCGAAGAACCUUACCAGGUCUUGACAUCCCGCUGACCGGUAUAGAGAUAUACCUUUCUUUUCGGAGACAGCGGAGACAGGUGG
rnacentral:rRNA from 1 species